UCAUAAGAGCCCACGUCAAUAUCAAAGGCGUCAACUAAAGGUGGGUGCCACCAGGUACUGUAGUUAAUAUACAAGGGUCGUCAACUGGAGGUAGUGCUACUAGGUACAGUAGUUAAUAUACAAGGGUCGUCAACAGGUGGUGGGUGCUGCUAGGUUCAGUGGUUAAGGGUCGUCAACUGGUGGUAGUGCUACUAGGUACAGUAGUUAAGAUACAAGGGUCGUCAACUGAUGGUGGGUGCUGCUAGGUACAGUAGUUAAGAUACAAGGGUCGUCAACUGGAGGUGGGUGCUACUAGGUACAGUAGUUAAGAUACAAGGGUCGUCAACUGGUGGUAGUGCUACUAGGUAUAGUAGUUAAUAUACAAGGGUCGUCAACAGGUGGUGGGUGCUACUAGGUUCAGUAGUUAAGAUACAAGGGUCGUCAACUGGUGGUGGGUGCUACUAGGUACAGUAGUUAAUAUACAAGGGUCGUCAACUGAUGGUGGGUGCUACUAGGUUCAGUAGUUAAGAUACAAGGGUCGUCAACUGGUGGUGUGUGCUACUAGGUUCAGUAGUUAAGAUACAAGGGUCGUCAACUGGAGGUGGUGCUACUAGGUUCAGUAGUUAAGAUACAAGGGUCGUCAACUGGAGGUGGUGCUACUAGGUUCAGUAGUUAAGAUACAAGGGUCGUCAACUGGAGGUGGUGCUACUAGGUUCAGUAGUUAAGAUACAAGGGUCGUCAACUGGAGGUGGUGCUACUAGGUUCAGUAGUUAAGAUACAAGGGUCGUCAACUGGUGGUGGGUGCUACUAGGUACAGUAGUUAAGAUACAAGAGUUGUUUGAAUCGAAUCUACUUCAUUGAAUUAUUUACUAAAAGUAUAAAUCAGUUCAGAGGGAAGUACAUGGAACAGCCCAAGUCGUAGACUUAUGUCACAACAACUCACACGACACAUAGACCUACUAAUACACUCGCAUGGACCUACAAAUACACUCGCAUGGACCUACAAACACACUCGCAUGGACCUACAAACACACUCGCAUGAGCCUACAAACACACUCGCAUGAGCCUACAAACACACUCGCAUGGACCUACAAACACACUCGCAUGGACCUACAAACACACUCGCAUGGACCUACAAACACACUCGCAUGAACCUACAAACACACUCGCAUGAGCCUACAAACACAUUCGCAUGGGCCUACAAACACAAUCGUAUGAGCCUACAAACACACUCGCAUGAACCUACAAACACACUCGCAUGAACCUACAAACACAUUCGCAUGGGCCUACAAACACACUCGCAUGAACCUACAAACACACUCGCAUGAGCCUACAAACACACUCGCAUGAACCUACAAACACACUCGCAUG
rnacentral:sRNA from 13 species